CCGAAGAGGAUACUUGAAUUGAUGAAUGUCCCUGGUUUGAGUAGAGAAAAUGUUGCCAGUCAUUUGCAAGUUAGUUUUUAGUUCAAAAAUGCUAAGCUUGGGGGAGAUAUUAUUUUCUCCGUUUCUUUUUUCACACACUUAAGAUCCUCAAAGGUACUAUCAAAUUGUGAAAACUCAAUUGAUAUUUGUUGUGGCAGUUCCUCAAUGUGUGAAGAGUAGAAAUUAUCGUAAGGCACAACAAAUUCGUCUAUGUAUAAACUGGAUUNCAGGGCAGNUUGUGGAUGGCGAGUAAAUGAAGAGUACUUGGUGUUGUGGAGUACCUCUNGGCUGCAGGAGGUAACAUUGCAGGUUAGAUGGAUCGUAAAGAUGUUCCUAUACCAGAGAGGCCACAUUUGGAGGAAUUAAAACAAAUUCAGGAAUAGAAGUGGAGUGUAAAGAAGGCAGAGAAAAUUAAUCUAGAGAGACAUUCUCUAAGAUGUGACACGGAACUGAAGCUUUCUGCGCUUCCUUUUGUUGGAUUUGCAGUGGCCAUGUUUAUNUUUUACCCUAUAGUUCNUGUUCUGCUUAAG